rnacentral:rRNA from 1 species
UAGGGAAUCUUCCGCAAUGGACGCAAGUCUGACGGAGCAACGCCGCGUGAGUGAAGAAGGAUUUCGGUUCGUAAAACUCUGUUGUUAGAGAAGAACAGCGCAUAGAGUAACUGUUAUGCGUGUGACGGUAUCUAACCAGAAAGCCACGGCUAACUACGUGCCAGCAGCCGCGGUAAUACGUAGGUGGCAAGCGUUGUCCGGAUUUAUUGGGCGUAAAGCGAGCGCAGGCGGUCAAUUAAGUCUGAUGUGAAAGCCCCCGGCUCAACCGGGGAGUGUCAUUGGAAACUGGUUGACUUGAGUGCAGAAGAGGGGAGUGGAAUUCCAUGUGUAGCGGUGAAAUGCGUAGAUAUAUGGAGGAACACCAGUGGCGAAGGCGACUCUCUGGUCUGUAACUGACGCUGAGGCUCGAAAGCGUGGGUAGCAAACAGG